rnacentral:rRNA from 1 species
GAUGAACGCUGGCGGCGUGCCUAAUACAUGCGAGUCGAGCGAACAGACGAGGAGCUUGCUCCUCUGACGUUAGCGGCGGACGGGUGAGUAACACGUGGAUAACCUACCUAUAAGACUGGGAUAACUUCGGGAAACCGGAGCUAAUACCGGAUAAUAUAAUGAACCGCAUGGUUCAAUAGUGAAAGACGGUUUUGCUGUCACUUAUAGAUGGAUCCGCGCCGCAUUAGCUAGUUGGUAAGGUAACGGCUUACCAAGGCAACGAUGCGUAGCCGACCUGAGAGGGUGAUCGGCCACACUGGAACUGAGACACGGUCCAGACUCCUACGGGAGGCAGCAGUAGGGAAUCUUCCGCAAUGGGCGAAAGCCUGACGGAGCAACGCCGCGUGAGUGAUGAAGGUCUUCGGAUCGUAAAACUCUGUUAUUAGGGAAGAACAAAUGUGUAAGUAACUAUGCACGUCUUGACGGUACCUAAUCAGAAAGCCACGGCUAACUACGUG